rnacentral:rRNA from 1 species
UGGGGAAUAUUGCGCAAUGGGGGAAACCCUGACGCAGCAACGCCGCGUGAAGGAUGAAGGUUUUCGGAUCGUAAACUUCUUUGAUGAGGGACGAACAAAAUGACGGUACCUCAAAAACAAGCCACGGCUAACUACGUGCCAGCAGCCGCGGUAAUACGUAGGUGGCGAGCGUUGUCCGGAAUUACUGGGUGUAAAGGGCGUGUAGGCGGGGAUGUAAGUCAGAUGUGAAAUUCCAUGGCUCAACUGUGGGGCUGCAUCUGAAACUAUGUCUCUUGAGUGCCGGAGAGGGAAGCGGAAUUCCUAGUGUAGCGGUGAAAUGCGUAGAUAUUAGGAGGAACACCAGUGGCGAAGGCGGCUUUCUGGACGGUAACUGACGCUGAGGCGCGAAAGCGUGG